CUUUCGUGUCAGCUGUUCUUCCUCGUCUCCAUACCGUCCUUCGACUCCAAAUCGACCAUCUUUGUCCCCUUCCUUUUCCGGAGAAAUCUCUCCACCUCGGUGACGUGGUCCAUAUGAAGCUAUGUAAAGCUGUUGGCUGUCCCACUCGUGUUCUACCGAAUUCGUGCGUUCGGGGUUAGGUCUCAAUCCACUCUUCUCGGGGACUUCUUGAGGUCGUAGGGGGUACGGGGCGGUGGAAAUCGUUUUCUAGUGCGUCGUCUUUGGAAUCUUUUCCGGUAUGGUUUGGCUGCCGGACGACCGCAAGCGCUGAUGUCGGGAUUCGAGGACUCGUUGGGCGACGAGCACGGCCCUCCGAACAAGAGAUCCGGGCAUGCGAACCCUCCAGAUCAGCAGGCUUUUUAGUACAAUGCACGUAUGGAAGCUGGCCCGUUUGGUCUUCAUCUCACGAAGAGCCCGUCUGUAGUGGAUGUGGUUCAGAAGAUACUUCCUCCAUCAGGUUGUGUGUCGUGCUCCACUAGCUUUGGGUGUUCGGAAAGUGGUAGCAGACAUGGACUGAAUCCUUUAGCUUCUUGGUGCUCUUCUAACAAGACAGAACCUACGAAAUUUUCUGCAUCGCUUUUGAGGAUUGGGAACUGGGAGUUUGUUUCAAGGAAUGAAAUUGAUCUAGUGGCAAAAUGCUACUUUGCGAAGCAUAAACUUAUAUGGGAAGUUCUCGGAUACCGCCUCAAGAGCAAGAUUGAAUUUCACUGGUCCGGCAUCAUUGUUAUUAAGGCAAAAUGCUCUAAAGGUGGUCAUGGAACUUUGGAUAUAGUGUUGUCAAUACUCAAUACCAUCUCUUUUCUUCCAAGAGACUGAUCCUCAGUCGAAGAAGCAGACGAUGUGGCAAGCAGCACCAGACUUUGCAAAUGGUCAAUCAAGAAUACAUAGACAAAAUAAUGGAGGUUUGGCAUACCAGAUAUCCAUUGCUGAUAGUCAGAACUGGUCUGUUACCACUUUGGCGUACCAGAUCUCUGAAAAAAGGAGGCAUAUGCUUCAAUGUCCCUGAGGCCAGUUAAGCAAGUUUUCUAAGCAGCUUAUUGAUCGUGAUCCACAUCCGAAGUCACAAAGUCAGCAACCAGACUGUGUGUUAGAUUCUCCAUACUUCGAUUCUUCAUACUCUCUCUACAAGGAUCAAGGUGAUAAUAAAUGCCAUAUUCUUAAUGACAUUAGGGAUGAUUAUGGAGCCUUCUCAGCCUUCUUUG